rnacentral:misc_RNA from 1 species
UGAGGGUAUUGCAAAUCAUUUUCAGAAUCAUGAGCACAUUCGGCUGAUAUUGAAGUACGAUGAAUCUCUUGCUCAUUCCAUUUAUGCAGCAUCUGACAUGUUCAUCAUCCCAUCUAUCUUUGAGCCUUGUGGCCUUACACAGAUGAUAGCAAUGAGAUAUGGUUCCAUACCCAUUGCAAGAAAAACUGGUGGUCUAAAUGAUAGUGUUUUUGAUGUUGAUGAUGACACAAUUCCUCUUCAGUUUCAAAAUGGAUAUACAUUCUUGAAUCCUGAUGAAAAGGGGGUAAACAGUGCUUUAGAACGUGCAUUUAACUAUUAUAGGAACAAUCCUGAGGGGUGGCAGCAGCUUGUUCAGAAGGACAUGAAAAUAGAUUUUAGUUGGGAAUCUUCAGCAUCACAGUAUGAGGAGCUUUACUCAAAGUCAGUGGCCAGGGCAAGAGCAGCAGCAAGUCAGUCUUAAUUAUCGUAAAUAGGCAUUUUCAUGGAAGCUGUGAAGCUGUACUUGAGUUGGCUUGAUUCAUGAAUGUGAAUUUAUAGGCCAUGAACUAAGAAAUCCAGGCCAGCAAAGUGCCCUUAC